rnacentral:rRNA from 1 species
AUACUGAGGGUGUGAGCGUUAAUCGGAAUUACUGGGCGUAAAGGGCGUGUAGGCGGGUAAGUAAGUCGAUGGUGAAAGCCUACAGCUUAACUGUAGAAUUGCCUUCGAUACUGCUUAUCUUGAGUUCGGGAGAGGGAAGUGGAAUUCCUGGUGUAGCGGUGAAAUGCGUAGAUAUCAGGAAGAACACCGGUAGCGAAGGCGGCUUCCUGGCCCGAAACUGACGCUGAAGCGCGAAAGCGUGGGGAGCAAACAGGAUUAGAAACCCCGGUAGUCC